rnacentral:rRNA from 1 species
UACGGGGGGAGCAAGCGUUGUUCGGAUUUACUGGGCGUAAAGGGCGCGUAGGCGGCCACCGCAAGUCGACUGUGAAAUCUCCGGGCUUAACUCGGAAAGGUCAGCCGAUACUGCGGGGCUAGAGUGCAGAAGGGGCAACUGGAAUUCUCGGUGUAGCGGUGAAAUGCGCAGAUAUCAGGAAGAACACCCGUGGCGAAGGCGGCUCUCUGGGACGGUACUGACGCUGAGACGCGAAAGCGUGGGGAGCGAACAGG